rfam:Bacillus sp. FJAT-27231 Scaffold1, whole genome shotgun sequence.
CAAGUCCACUAGGGGUGUCGUUAGACUGAGAGAGGAGUGAUCCUCAACUCUAAGAACCUGAUCUGGUUAGUACCAGCGUAGGGAACGUGUGACAGAUACGGG